UUGGAGGGCAAGUCUGGUGCCAGCAGCCGCGGUAAUUCCAGCUCCAAUAGCGUAUAUUAAAGUUGUUGCAGUUAAAAAGCUCGUAGUUGAAUUUCGGAAUCAGUGCGCUGGUCGUGCCUCUGGUAUGUACUGGUCUCACUGAUUCCUCCUUCCUGAUGAAUCUUAAUGCCAUUAAUUUGGUGUUUUGGGGAAUUUGGACUGUUACUUUAAAAAAAUUAGAGUGUUUAAAGCAAGCUAACGCUUGAAUACAUUAGCAUGGAAUAAUGAAAUAGGACGUUGAUCUUAUUUUGUUGGUUUCUAGGAUUGACGUAAUGAUUAAUAGGGAUAGUUGGGGGCAUUAGUAUUCAGUUGUCAGAGGUGAAAUUCUUGGAUUUAUUGAAGACUAACUACUGCGAAAGCAUUUGCCAAGGAUGUUUUCAUUAAUCAAGAACGAAAGUUAGGGGAUCGAAGACGAUCAGAUACCGUCGUAGUCUUAACCAUAAACUAUGCCGACUAGGGAUCGGAUGAUGUUAAUUUUUUAAUGACUCAUUCGGCGCCUUACGGGAAAC
rnacentral:rRNA from 1 species